rnacentral:rRNA from 1 species
GCAUAUCAAUAAGCGGAGGAAAAGAAACUAACAAGGAUUCCCCCUAGUAACUGCGAGUGAAGCGGGAAAAGCUCAAAUUUAAAAUCUGGCAGUUUCACUGUCCGAGUUGUAAUCUAGAGAAGUGUUAUCCGCGUUGGACCGUGUACAAGUCUCCUGGAAUGGAGCGUCAUAGAGGGUGAGAAUCCCGUCUUUGACACGGACUACCAAGGCUUUGUGAUGCGCUCUCAAAGAGUCGAGUUGUUUGGGAAUGCAGCUCAAAAUGGGUGGUAAAUUCCAUCUAAAGCUAAAUAUUGGCGAGAGACCGAUAGCGAACAAGUACCGUGAGGGAAAGAUGAAAAGAACUUUGGAAAGAGAGUUAAACAGUACGUGAAAUUGCUGAAAGGGAAACGCUUGAAGUCAGUCGCGUUGUCCAGGAAUCAACCUUACUUUUGUUGGGUGUACUUUCUGGUUAACGGGUCAACAUCAAUUUUGACCGUUGGAUAAAGUCAUUGGGAAUGUGGCAUCUUCGGAUGUGUUAUAGCCUUUUGUCGCAUACAACGGUUGGGAUUGAGGAACUCAGCACGCCGCAAGGCCGGGUUUUUAACCACGUUCGUGCUUAGGAUGUUGGCAUAAUGGCUUUAAUCGACCCGUCUUGAAACACGGACCAAGGAGUCUAACAUGCCUGCGAGUAUUUGGGUGGUAAACCCGAGUGCGUAAUGAAAGUGAAAGUUGAGAUCCCUGUCGCGGGGAGCAUCGACGCCCGGACCAGACCUUUUGUGACGGAUCCGCGGUAGAGCAUGUAUGUUGGGACCCGAAAGAUGGUGAACUAUGCCUGAAUAGGGGUGAAGCCAGAGGAAAACUCUGGUGGAGGCUCGUAGCGAUUUCUGACGUGCAAAUCGAUACGUCAAAUUUGGGUAUAGGGGCGAAAGACUAAUCGAACCAUCUAGUAGCUGGGUUCCUGCCGA